CGGCACAGCGGGAAGCCAGGUGGUGACACCGAGCAGAACCGAAAGCCGUUCUCAGUUCGGAUCGGAGUCUGCAACCCGACUCCGUGAAGCUAGAUUCGCUAGUAAUCGCGCAUCAGCCAUGGCGCGGUGAAUACGUUCCCGGGCCUUGUACACACCGCCCGUCAAGCCAUGGAAGCCGGGGGUGCCUGAAGUGCGCUGCCGCAAGGAGCGCCCUAGGGUAAAACCGGUGACUGGGGCUAAGUCGUAACAAGGUACC
rnacentral:rRNA from 1 species